CGCGAAUCACGACACACGGGCGUGCAACACAAGGGCACGUGUUCUGAUCUUUACCGGGUCCACAUUCAGGGCUGGCUGCAGACUCACCUUGCAGUUAACCCUGUCAACCUUACCAAGGCGAAGAUAAAUCGAGGCACGGUGUUAACUGCUCUCUUCACUAGGAGCGCUGGAAAGCCCUCUGACGGGUGACCUAGCAUCUCUAGGCCCUGCGAAGAGGCGGAAGAUACUGUCCAAGACUACUGUAACAAUCGCAACGGCUGUCAGAGGAUUUGAAGGAUGUGAGCCCCACAAUGCUAGUUGGAAAAGAAUCAACACAAAGGAAAAUAGAGGAGGAAUGGAGAAGACUUGAUCUAAAGUCUAUUUUUCAGCUCCUGGAUCCAGCCAUACCUGAAGAGGACAUUUAUCCUGAACUUUACGGUUGUGUCAGUGAAUAAAUUUCCAUUUUUGUCCAACUCAA